UCUGUGGUAGAGACAUACAGAGACGUAACUAGUGUACCCACUUUUUUUGUGCGCAUGCUCGGCAAGUUACUAGAUGCAUGCAUCUGAUUGGAUGACGACCUGAUGACGACUCACUUUAAACUUGCUGAGCACGCGCAGUGAUCAUUUUUUGCCCGGUCGCCUGAAAAAAAGUGGGUACAUGAUAACGUAAUCUUCCGCAGUG